GACGAACGCUGGCGGCGUGCUUAACACAUGCAAGUCGAACGAUUACUACCUAGCUUGCGCUUUCUGAUUAUUGGCGAACGGGUUAGUAACACGGUAGCAACCUCCCCUUCACUCUGGGAUAACCUCGGGAAAUCGGGUCUAAUACCGGAUAUGAGCUCCUGUCGCAUUUCGUGCGUUGGAAAGUAUUGCGGUGAAGGAUUGGCUCGCGGCCUAUCAGUUUGUUGGUGAGGUAGUGUCGCACCAAGGCGAUGACGGGUAGCCGGCCUGAGAGGGCGACCGGCGACCAUGGGACUGAGACACGGAGCAGAAGCGUAUGGGCGGCAGCAGUCGGGAAUAUUGCACAAUGGGCGCAAGUGUGAUGAAGAGACGCCGCGUGCGGGAUGACGGCCUUCGGGUUGUAAACAUCUUUCAGAAGGGAAGAAGCGAAAGUGACGGUACCUGAAGAAGAAGCGCCGGCUAACUACGUG
rnacentral:rRNA from 1 species